rnacentral:lncRNA from 1 species
CUGGCAGAGAGGUUGGUGCUGUGGUUCCUGGAGACGGCUGAUAGCUGCACACGCUCACACCCACCCUGUCUGCACUGGUGUCUCCAGAUACCGUCUCUUUGAAGAGCCAGGAGACCUUUGGACUCAAGACGCGUCCUUUAUGUAGCUUCAUCACUAAUAAUGCAGCCGAGACCAGCAGACUUAGGCUUGCAGCCACCCUGGAUCCUGGUGAAGAACUCUUAGCUGGAAACUGCUUUUCCUUUCCAGAUGUGGGUCUUCAGUAAAGUGUCCCGAACCAAUUUUAGACAACUUUUCUAACAUUCAUCUUGGAUCCUUGAAUCUGUUUGAAAGUUGUUAUGUCUGUUUUUUUGGGGUAAAUGAAUGGUUUUAAGUUCCUUUUAAAGAAACAGUAGAGAAAAUAAAGGUGCACG